ACAUGCUGUCACCACCCCAGCCAGAGGAAGGGGGACCGUUAUUGUGGAACAGGGAUCAUUCUGGGAUUCAUCGCCCUGAGAGAGGUUGGGAGACUGGACUAGAGCAGCACGAGCAGGAGGGGACCCCCCGGGACAAACGGUGCAAAUCACAAAAAGAAGCACACCUUGGACCCGCCACAUGAGGCAGAGGGAGCGUCCACGCAGAGCCCCUGACCUCACUGCCGACUCCUGCAAUUGAACUUCAAAAAGUUCGCAAGAUUCAGCAGCUUCGUUUGGCUCAUGUGUCAGGUGACACUCAAGGUAUGAGGUGUCCUCACCAAUCAUCAAAUUCAGAGCUGACGCACAUGCAGGAAUAUUUCACCAACAGCUUGAGCCGAGGUUCCCAGGGAACGUUCCCAAAGCGAUGCUCCCAUGAACCGGCUGCAGGGCUGUAACUUCCCCACACCGAGAGCUGAUAAAAACCCGGUGUGAAGAGCAGAGGAGGGCUUAGGGAGUGUAUGGAUGAGACUUUCUGGGUCGUAGGGGAGGAGAGGAGAUGGGUAGGGAGUCUUUUUAAUCAAGUUAUGAACAGGAAAUUAAAGGAGCAGGGCCGAGCGUUCAACAUGCCUCCCCUGCAUUUGGGGGGAAUGACAGUAGCUGAGCGCAUCUGAGAGUCGGCACCGUGCAGAACAGGCUGUACUCAUGUUUAUUUUUGUUUUUGAUGUGAUUAAGGUACAGUUCCUCCCACAAGAAACAUGGGAACUCCUGCACACACUUGAAAAGGCACAGGUAGUUGGGAAGCACAGCGAUUAAGGCAGAGGCAGCGGUGAGCAACCUGCUGGGACCAUGCAGAACAGCCGGACAGACUCGGAUGCUGGAGGGGAACACGGAGGAAGACCGCUGAGCUGCUGGCCCAGAGCAUGAGCCCCGCGCGGGUGGAUUUCAGCGAUGCGCAUGUGUGACUGGCCUGCGAUUAAGAUCCCGCUGAGAACGAGGGCAUCACAGUGGGUGCGACACGUGUUGCUCCAGGAGAAGGGGGUUCCCCACCGCAGGCACGUUCUCUAUGAAUUCCCAGAGACCACUAAAGGCGAGGGCAAGAAGCUGGGGGUUUUUAAAGGGGCUCAACCAUGUUCAUUCCUGUAGUGGUCAC